rnacentral:lncRNA from 1 species
AGAUACCGGCACAUGUAAAGCGCAUGCGUACGCGUGCGCAGUGCUAUGCUAGUGGUCGGAAGAUGGCGUUGAGUAUGUUCGACUCGGAGACUGCUGCAGUGCACUGGAAAAAUCGUGUUUAAUCUCCGUUUUAGAAAAUGAAAGAUUUGGGGGUGACAAACCUGCUUCAGGAGUGGGACUUCCCACAUUUAGUUCCAAUCUUUAGAGUUAAAUGUUGCAGAAGAUGAGCACGAAGACACCUACUGGAUCUCGGUACCGAGAUAUGAGUUGACUAGAGGAAACCCGCGACCAAGCACAGCAGAAAUUCUUGACAAAUAUCUACAGCUUUUGGGAAUGAUUGAUCAAGACUUUGAUUUAACAAUUGAUGCAGCUCCUGGUGCCCUUUUCACAAUGUGGCCAAAGUUGUCCAGGCAGACUUUGGAAUUUGCGGAGAUUAAUCCAGGGUAUAGAAAGAUCCUAGGGGCUGGAGUGGACCAGAAAAUGACGCAGAGUCAACAAUGAAGAAAUUUGGCUUUCAGUACUUCCUGGGAUUUUGAUCGGCAGAACGAAAGGGGAAUGAGGCAAAUUAAAUGUGCCGUACUUCAAAGUCUUGAAUCUUUCAUCAAUCUCCAAUUAGAAGGAGCAUGAAGAAAAGAAGAUGAACAGGAAUUGACAAUGGCGCGUUCCAUACCUGGGAGUGAUUGCACAGUGGCACCCUUGGACCUAAUUUCACCCUGACAUCAAGUUGGUUUUAAGGAGAACCAUGAGAGAAAUUAAUAAAUUAAAGAUUGCCGAAUAUCAAAGAAUAACAGAGUUAUGAGGCUUCAAAGUUUUAAAUUUGUGACAUGACAUGCGAGCAGCUCCCAAUAUGUCAAUCAUGUAAUAUAAAUUCCAUAAAUUGCCAUUUUUUAAUGGUUUUCAUGAUAAUUAAAUGGGUUUUUAUCAGAAGCUUGUAUGAAAUAAUGUUUCUGAUAACAUUGAAUCCACAGGUAAAAUCAUUUUCCAAUUUCCCUAGAAAAGGCACUUGUAUAGAAUUGAUAUCACAUAAAAUAUGGGGAGCUGCUCGCAUGUGAAGUCACAAAUUUAAAACUUCAUAACUCUUAUUCUUGGUGGAUUUUCACCAACUAACAUGCAAUGUCAGGAUGAACCUUGCCUUUAAACCUUAUAUUGGCAGCCUUUCAUUGACAUUUACAUACAGUAUUUUAGGUUUUGUGAGCAAGUAUAUGAAAAAGGUGCUAAUUAACACCUACUUCCCCUUCUUAACCCUAAACAGGCCGGGGGGGGUUUAAAACAACCUUCCCCCAACAUUAUCUGCGAUCAUUCCUCUGCGGGAGAUUUGUUGACCCUGCCACUCUCAGAGUUUAUACUAAGUCUCGCGCAUCUUUUGAGACCAAAUUUACGAUGCCCAGGUACGUUGUCCCGAAAUUAUGCAACAUUUCGUAAGU